rnacentral:misc_RNA from 1 species
CCCAAAAUAAAAAUCAAUUGAAAAGCACUGUUAAUGGAGAACUCUUUUUAAGUUAUACUUUAUUUUUUUUUAAUAAUAAAUAUACAAAAUACGCUCAUGACUGAAUUAUCGACAUAUGCAAAUCAAUGCCAGGAAAGAGAGUUGAUUGCUAUGAGGGUGGCAUCACAAUUAGUCCCCUUCCUCCCCAAUUCCAGCUUCAGAACUGUCGACCAAUUUUCAGCUAGCCCAAACCCGCCCUUGCCAGGCCUACAGCCAAGCCACUCAACAACACUGGAAACAUGAAUAGCCCA